rnacentral:rRNA from 1 species
UACGUAGGGAGCUAACGUUGUUCGGAAUCACUGGGCAUAAAGCGCGUGUAGGCGGCAUUGUAAGUCGGGUGUGAAAUCCCUCGGCCUAACCGAGGAAUUGCGCUCGAAACUACCUUGCUUGAGGAUCAGAGGGGAGCCUGGAAUUCCUGGUGGAGCGGUGAAAUGCGUUGAUAUCAGGAGGAACACCGGCGGCGAAGGCGAGGCUCUGGCUGAUUUCUGACGCUGAGACGCGAAAGCUAGGGGAGCAAACGGG